UUUAGUCCUCUAUUUCACAUACCAUGAUCAUUGAACUUAGUAACCAAAUAUUACAUCUGGAUGGUGCAUAUAAUUCAAAGAAAAAGCAGUUGAAUUGGGCAAGAAGGUUUAAGAUCAUUGAGGGCAUCAUUCGAGGACUUCUUUAUCUUCACGAAGAUUCAUCAUUGGCAACUACCAUACCACCCACGUGCCACCUCAUACCUCUUUCAUUCCUCCCUUUCUUUUAUCCUCUUCCCCCACGACUUUUCCCUUUCUCUCCUUCCUUUUUCUCUUUUCUAUUUCUCUCCGACGACAGAAGAGAAGAGAGAUCACAACAGCCCCUCCCUUCCCUCUCUUUCUCUUCUUCCUUGUUCUCCUUCAUCUGAGUAGCACCACCGGAGCUCGCUGAAGCUUGCUGGAAAAAAGAGGGGAAGGAACCCUAGCUUUUGCCCUCUUUUGGCAACAAGAGCAGCAAGUUGUUGCUCUCUUUUCCAACCAAUCACAACUGUUGUUGGAACUCCGCCGGAGCUAACUGUGGUCACGCCGAACUCGCCGAGGCUACGGGUAAAGAGAGAAAGAUCAUCUAUUUCCGUGCUCUUUUGUUUUCAGCCCUCCCUUCUCCUCCGAUAGCUUCAACAACAGCCCUAGUUGCUGUCCUGUUCUUGGCAGCACCGCCGGAGUUCGCUGGAGCUAGCUGAGACGGCCAGCGACAAACCCUAGUUGCUGCCCUCUUCUUCCAGGAACCACAGUGAUCCAUAGAAGACACGAGCUCGAGUGGAGCGCGGUGACCUGCCGACACCGCAGAUUUUGCUGUAUAUAAGGUGGAUACAUCUACUUUUGUAUAUUUCCUUGUGCAUGAAUAAAUAUAUAAAUUGGAUUAUAUAUAUGUUGUAUCAUUGUUUUCAAAAUGGGGAUUAAACUGAUAUUACAAAUAGCGAAAUGAGUUAAAAUAUUAAUAUUAUUUUUUUUGGGGGGGGGGGGGGUGGUGGUAAAUAAUUGAUAUUAUUUCUUGUUCACAUGUGGGUUCAUAUUGGGAUUUAUAUGGGAAGGGUUGUUUUUAAAAUUAAAGAAAUAUUCUGAAUUACUCUUCUGUUGAUACCUUGUCUUCUUGACUUGCUUGACCAUUCAUACUUCAUGCUUUUGAUACUCUAUAUGUUGAUACUUGUAAUUUUAUCUGUGGACCCUAUAAUGAUAAAUUAAUAGACUUGAUACGAAAAUAUUACCUUGAUUGACCAUUCAAUAUGAAAAGAGAAUAAUCAUGAUAAAUGGAUAAAUAUAAUCAUAAAGGUGAAAUAAUAAAGUUAGUAAAUGAAGAAUAUUAAAAAGUGAAGACGGUGAGCCUAGCUUUGUAUCAGAAUUUCAUAUUAGAGUACUGGACCACCCACAUAUUAUUGUGGUAGCGCGGCGGCCCGUGGUCCAGAGUACCUGAUCGUACACCCGAGGCAUGAUGGAGUGAUAUAGCUCUCAGUCAGUGUUUAUUAUGUCUUCCACCGGUGAGGGCUGAUAGCCCGUACGUCAGAUGACGUAUUCGAUAGUCUUAUACUCUGAGGAGGCUUUUAGCCUAUCCAUAUGAUAUUACACUCUGAUGAUAUUGGCUCUAGUGAUUCACUUUUUAGUUGAUUUAUCAUAUUCAGACUAUUGAAACAGAUGUUGAUAUUACCAUGAUAACUUAUAACCGAGUGAUUAAAUAAUAUGAUUGAAGAAUUGAUCUUAACUGAUGAUAAUAUAUGAAGAUGAAUUUUAAUUUUAACAAAUAAAUGUAGAUGAUCAUAACUAUAUACUUAUGUAUAUUAUCUGAGAACUCAAAGAAGAAAGAAAAGUUGAAAUAAUAAAUGAUACCUCUUUGAUAUCUUAAACAAGAUUAAAUUCAUGCACAUCUUUCUUGAGUAUCCACUUAGCCAUUUGGCUAACUUUCUACCUUACUUGGCCUCUAGUUUUGUAGGCAUAGGGAUCCUUUUGAUAUUGUAGUUGAUUUUGGACUUUCAUAGAGUUGCUCAGAGAUCUCGACGUGCUGAUUUUCUAGUUUGUUUUACUUUUGUUUUCGUUGUAUUUACAUUUUGUAAUUUUAUUUCAGAUGUCGUUUAUUUGUAUAGUUUUGUAGUAUACGAAGCAUAUGAGAUAUACAUGUAUAAGUUGAUA